ensembl:lncRNA
CUGCUGGAUCAACAACAACAGGCAGAAAAACUACAGGAACUGCUGGAUCAACAACAACAGGCAGAAAAACUACAGGAACUGCUGGAUCAACAACAACUGGCAGAAAAACCACAAGAACUGCUGGAUCAACAACAACAAGCAGAACUACAACAAUGGCUGGAUCAACAAUAACAAGUAGAACCACUACAACAACUGCUGGAUCAACAACAACAGGCAGAAAAACUACAGGAACUGCUGGAUCAACAACAACUGGCAGAAAAACUACAGGAACUGCUGGAUCAACAACAACAAGUAGGACAACUACAGCAACGGCUGGAUCAACAGCAACAAGUAGAACAACUACAACAACUGCUGGAUCAACAACAACAGCUGUUGGGAAUAUUUCUAUCACAUUUAAUCAAUAUCCUAUCACAUUCAAUCUACAAUUAAUUUCAUUAAUCAUAGCUCAUGCAAUCAUCAUUUAAUCACAACUUACCUUAUCAUAUAAUCAAAUUAUAUUAUAGUGCUAUUGCUUAUAAUGAAUUUAUGUUAACCGUGCAAGUAUAUGAAUUGCUAGUGUGCUCAUAAUGUGUUACCUAAGCCUUGACCUCUCACACAUAAACUGAAGACAGCUUAAGACAAAUGGUUUCAAUGUUUGUGCAGAUGUCAGAUACUUUUGGUGGAAAAGUACCCCACGCUAACCGUCAGGUACCACUUCACUGCAAUAGAGAUCUUAAAGGAACAUGGGGAUCUGACAGGUGUCACUUAUAGAAAUAGAUAUGCUGAAGUGGUAAAUGGUCCA